ACCAUCAAUAACUAAUAAAAAUAAAUUCCAGCUUUCAUAUCAAAUGUCUACAUACACAUAUGUCAAAAGAAAAGUCAAUAUCUACUAGCUAAAUACAUCAUGAUCACUCCAUCCCGUAAUCCUUAUAAUCAUAUGUCAUCACCUGCAAAAAAAUGUAAAUAGUAGGAGUGAGCUAACAGCUCAGUAGGCAACAUCAUGCAAUAAAGUCAUCAUAUAACAUGUCAUGAUGCAUAUGAAAAGCAGCUAAAACUCAUGAAUCCAAAAAUCCACACGAUAACCCGUAAACCCGAUCCGAGAUUUAAAAUAACUCAACCGCAUGACUACGGCCACAUCACCCAGUGGCAUGGUUACACCGAAGUGUCAAUACAACUCUCCGCAGAGCCGCUCCACUGAGCCAACACACCACUGUGCCGCACCCCCUGGUGCCAAUCUUACGCUCCACCGAGCUUCUCCGAAGAGCAAAACGCACCCCUGUGCCGCCACUAUUCUAUCACCGGUGGUCGCGGUGUCGGAACUAGUUCCUCAGUACAAGUCGACAGGGCCAACGUAUCAUCCCAUUGGCGGGGCCUAGACUAUAGUCACGCGGUUUUAAAAAUCAAUAAAUCAAUUUUCCACAUGGUAAAUUUCCAAAUCAAAGUCAUGAUAAUGCUCCCAAUAGUAAAGCACAUAACAGUUUAUGAAAUUAAAUAUUUAAUUCUAAUUCUAACACAUAAUGCCAAUAAUAAAUCAUAACAUCAACAUAUGCAGAUACAUGUUAAAAUUCUACUUUAAAGCAAUAGGUCACCUACCUGGGCUAGCUUAAAAAAAUCCCUGCCACAGAUAUCACGAACCCCUGAUUAAACAUAAACAUUAAUUAUUUAAUUAAUUAAGAAACAUAAUUUAAACUAUUUCCAAUCCCUUAAACUCCUAAGUUCAUAGAUCCAAGAAUGGGCCCCCAAGAUCAAACAUAGACCCUAAGAACAAGUAAACCAAAACCCCAAAAUCAGAAUCCUUUAAACCCAAAACCAAUUGUAGCCCAAAACAAAUUAGGCCCAAUUGAACCAAACCAGAUUACAGGUCCAGAUCAGAUCUCGGGCCCAAACCAAUCCAGCCCAUAGAUCCAAUCAGGUCCAACUCAGCCCAAAAACAAAUCUCCAGCCCAACCCAAACCAGAUUUGAUCAGACCAGAUUAGAUCAAAUCUUAACAAACCAGAUUACACUCAAAUCAGACCAACCCAAAUUUCUGACUCAGAUUCAGACCCAAAAUCUAAUUUCAAUCCGAAGCUGAUUAUUCAUAUUGCAACUCAAACUCAAAUCAAAUCCAAUUCAAGGAAUAGGUGGAACCGGUUCAUAGCCUGAACCGGUUCAUGGUCUGAUCCACAAAUGAGGAACGGAAAUCAAAACAAGAAAAAGCCCAGGAAGAAGAAAGAAGAAGAAGAAGAAGAAGAAAAAGGAGAAGAAGAAGGGGAAGGAAGGAAGAAGAGACGGUGGCUGGUGGUUCCGAUCGGCCUUCGGCGGCCGACCGUGGCCCUCGGCGGCGGCGCUCGGCCAGCCGCCAUCGGCCACGCCGCUGUCACGAGCAGCGCGGAAGAGAAGAAGAAAAGAAGAAGAAGAGGAAGAAAGGGAGGGAAGAGAGAGGCCGGGGCUGGAAAGCCCGGCCCCCCGUUCGUCCACCUCCGGCCGAACUCGUUUCGGC
rnacentral:lncRNA from 1 species